AACCCUUUCCACGCUGCCCCGCCGCCCUGGCACGGGCACACUUUUUGCAAGAAGCGGCGAAAACCAUCUAGGCAGAGUGGCCAAUCGCUGCCCCCCCACCACGAAGUCAGCAUGGCUGACCCCAGGAAGGAGCCCGCGACCACCUUGGCAAAAACGGCGCAGACCCGGAUCUGGCUUAUGAAAACCUUCCUUGCAGGUCGACUCGGGAGGAAGCCCCGACCGCCGGACCGAAUGGAGGAAGGGGGGGUUUCUCGCCUCCCGGGUCGAAGAACCGAACCGCCCGCUCUUUUCCGCCACCCGCUACCCCCCCCGAACGAAUGGCGGAGAAGGGGUCCCACCUAGAGACGGAGAAAAAAAAAAGCCAGCGAAGGCAGGACUAGAGACGUUCCCACUCCAAAAAGCAGGUAGAAAGGAAAAAGGGAGAAAAAACAAGAGAGGUUUAAUGGAAACAUAUAUAUUAUAAUAAAAAGGGAAACAAAAAUGCCUUAGGACACGGAAAUCUGGUGGUUGUUUUUUUUUUUCCCCGAACCGCAGAGGAAUUGGAAUAAAAGGAAGGAAAGUCGGUUUAUAGCGCCGAAUAUUCUCCGCCAAGGGCGAAUGAGGACGCGGCUUGAUUCUCGCGGCGACGCCGUUCGGAAGACGCGUUUACCCCGGGUCAACGAUCACCUUUGAGGAGAUGCGUCCCCACGAUUUACUCAAUCUGGGUGGGGGGUUCAUUUCAGACAGAUUAGACAGAGGGUUGGGCAGGAAUAAUACAGAAGCGAAGGCGAACCGUUUAUUUUAACCCAAAGGCCCCUCCGUUCGUUGGAACGGCGAUUUACUUCCGAGUAAAGAGCUCUUGGGAAUCUUCACUCCAAGGUAGAACUUGGGAGCUGCUCAGCUUCUGCUCAGCGGUGGUUGGGUUCCCACGACACUCUAUUCGGGCCUAAAGUGAGGUUGGGCCAUGUUGUGUUGGGUUCCCGUUUCCAGACCUCGUGUGAACCAGGCCAGGAAAGGGUCCCUUUCUCCAGGUCGGGCGGAAUCCCAGGCCCUGUGGAAAGAUGGCUUCGUGUGAAUUCACCAACCCGGAAGAACGGCCUUCUCCCCUCCACCCCAACCCCCCCAAACUCCACAUAAGCUUCGCGCCCCUUCGGGCUGGCCUGAAGUCCCCGCGUGACCGCGAUCCAAACGAAGACUGAGAAUGUGGGUGGCGCGAGAAGGCUUUGAAGGAUGCGGGUUGGACACGCGCACCUGCCCUCGCCCCGUGUCCAGGAGAGGCGGUGUUGGGGGAGAGGGGGUGGGGAAGAGGUACCCCUUUUAAACUCCCUAGACCCAAGAGGCCGGAUAGAAAUCUAACGAAACAAUUAAUUUUAACCCUCCGGUAAUCCAAUCGAGAGAGAGAGAGAAAAGAAAGGCAGCUUUGCGAAGCUAAAACGACAAACAAAUCCGUUCGCACGACCCCGUUUUUCGCGGGGGGGGUGUUUCCUCCCUGUUUAGCGUCCCAUUAACUGGGUCCCCCACCUCGCCCCACCCCCAAGCAAGGGGAGCCCUCAAUUCACCCUUCUCACUCUCCAGCAAGGCUAAAACGGCUAUUUGGCCUCGCUUGGGGUUCAGAGUGUCGUGGGAACGCAAACUUGAAGGAGUAGAGUAAAUUUAGGGUGGCCUAUUUGAAAGGAAAGGCGGGGGUGGGGGGAAGAGAGAGAAAUAGCUGGUUUUUAAGUGCCCGAAUCUAACUUAUUUCUCCUUCCAAAGUUGCAUAUAUGAUUACUGUUGAUAUGUUUUAAUUGUUUCUUAAACUGUUAUUCAGUAAUUCUGAGCUUUUAUUGCUAAUAGUAAUAAUAGCAUUAUUGUUAAGGAGAGCUCAGAAUUAUUUGCUUUGCCUACUACAUUUCCUCACCACGCUGCGUUCUCACGACAAGCUAAGCCAGGUUAGCCUCAUCCUGGUUCCCUGUCGCCACAACGUCCAAGUGAUUCCCAGCCCACCCUCUGCCAGAAACAUGGCCAGGGGGCUGCCCUAAUGCUAAACCUCUGGGUUGUUGUUUUUUAAAACCCAUUGUGGGAAUGCAGCCCUGACACGCAAGUCUGAUUUACUAGCCAAGAUCCGCACCCGGCUUUAGGAAGGGUGGGA